UAUCAUAGUAUAUGUUGUGUUGAUAUCAUGAGCCAUCUAGAUACUUUUAUUAUAGCCUAUAGGCUAUUAUGUGUAAUUUAGUAAGCUGUGGCGUAUCCGAUAUUCCGAUAGAACUUCGGGAACAGUGUCAACAGUGUGGACGGUUGUGUUCAAAACAAGCCAUGUAUUUUCUGCUACCAGUCCUAACUAUUGACGAUGAACGCAGUACUGCAGUAGUGACAUAAAUAUUGCGCAGGAUGCAAGGACGUCGAGGAUGUAGUAUUGUAGUGUGAUCCACCGACGUCUUCUGAGCAUGCCGAGCAUGGGCACUAAGAAAACGAGUUUUGACUUUUCGAACAAAUYUAAUGAUCGACAUCGUUUGAGGUCUGACGUCUGUCGCUGUGAUGUCCACCAUGGCGGAUAACAUUCACUUUCAUUAUUUGAAUUAAAGGUUUAAACUCGCCAGACACCGAAACCAAUUUUUGUCAAUUCUUAGACCAUUCGUUCGAGUUCGGAGUUUCAAUCAAAUCUAAUGACUAGGAGAUUUUCAACAUUUUUGUGUCCAUAUCAUCACUUUAGAGCAAUCGUGUUUUGGCCACUAUAUCGAAUCAACUAUGCAAAAUUGGAAAUAUUUUCACCGCAGUGUGCGACUAGUUACUAGUUUACUUGGUAUUUUACUAGAAUAUUGAMACUACAGACAGUGUUUUUAACAAUGCGAUAAGCUUAACAAAACACAGCUGCCUUGCCAUUAUCAUCAAGAAACUCUGAGCUGAAAAAAAUUACUACAAGGUGUCAGGCGAGUUGGUUGAUAAAUGACUUUCAAUGUGCCAUUGCUUUUCAAAUCCAGCUACAAUAAAAUAAAUAUUGACAUAUUUGUAUAUUUCAAUUGGAUAUACUAAAAUUAUUGUUUGAAUAAAAUCUACCUGGAUAAAAAUAAGUAAGUU